UCCCUGAUGGUCUAGUGGUGAGGGCUCUGUGCUCCCAAUGCAGGAGCUCUGGGUUCAAUCCCAGGUCAGGGAA
rfam:Ovis aries breed Texel chromosome 1, whole genome shotgun sequence.